AGGAGGAACAACCGCAGUGGCGGGGCCAGCUCUGCAGCCCUGGAGUCAGCCCCCGCAGUAGCUCCGGAGCUCUCCGUCUGCAGGGCCUGGAGGCUCCGGGGCGGG
rfam:Canis lupus familiaris chromosome 13, whole genome shotgun sequence.